rnacentral:lncRNA from 1 species
UUAUAUAUAGUAUAAAAAUUUUAGCAUAUUUUUUGUUUUAUAAAAAAAAUUGUAAUAUGUAUAUAUAUAUAUAUAUAUAGAAUUAGACUGGAAUACUAUUAAUAGUAAAACCCUCUUUUUGCUAUCAAGUUUUAGUUCUUGGAUGAAAAAUUGUAGGUUUAGGAGGAUAUUAGUCAGUUUGAGUUGAGUGGUCCUCCUAGGGUUGAGUGGUCCCCACUGGAUUAUAGUAUUUAAUCAAAUGGUUGGAAAUAAUAAAAAGAGUUGAUCCAAAGGCUAAAAAAUUGGUAGCAAUAAUAGAAUUUUGCUACUAAUAG